GGGGAUUUAGCUCAGUGGUAGAGCGCUUGCCUAGCAAGCACAAGGUCCUGGGUUCGGUCCCCAGCUCCG
rfam:Rattus norvegicus chromosome 2, whole genome shotgun sequence.